rnacentral:misc_RNA from 1 species
AAGAGACGUUGCCCUUCGGGGUAUACCUCCCACCCCUUGUUUAUUAUACCUUUGUUGCUUUGGCGGGCCCGUCCUCGGACCACCGGCUUCUGCUGGUCAGUGCCCGCCAGAGGACCUAAAACUCUGUUUGUUAAUAUUGUCUGAGUACUAUAUAAUAGUUA